rnacentral:rRNA from 1 species
AUUGAACGCUGGCGGCAGGCCUAACACAUGCAAGUCGAGCGGAUGAAGGGAGCUUGCUCCUGGAUUCAGCGGCGGACGGGUGAGUAAUGCCUAGGAAUCUGCCUGGUAGUGGGGGAUAACGUCCGGAAACGGGCGCUAAUACCGCAUACGACCUGAGGGAGCAGGUUGGGGGUGUUUGGACCUUUCGCGAUCAGGGGAGCUUAGGUCGGGUUAGAUAGUUGGUGGGGUAAAUGCCUGCCAAGGCGAGGAUCGGUAAAUGGUCGGAGUGGAUGAGUAGUCACCCUGGAAGGGGGACACGGUCCAGGCUCCUACGGGAGGCCGCAGUGGGGAAUAGUGGACAGUGGGGGAAAGCCUGAUCCAGCCAUGCCGCGUGUGUGAAGAAGGUCUUCGGAUUGUAAAGCACUUUAAGUUGGGAGGAAGGGCAGUAAGUUAAUACCUUGCUGUUUUGACGGUACCAAGAGAAGAAGCACCGGCUAACUUCGUG